AAGUGAACCUUCCCAACAAUCAUCUCUCAAGGUGAAAGGAUGAGCAGUAGUUCUCAGUGAACUGCUUUGCAUAGCUCUCGAGCAGUAAGUGAUAUAAAAACCCUACCAAAGUUCUGAAGCACCAGUAGAAUUGGACCCAGGAGCUCAAAAGAGUUGAGACAGGCUCACACCCUUCAUAUUUUUAUCCCGUGUGUUGAAUCAGUCACAGGACUGUGAAAAACUCUUCACCCAACUGGUUCCUGGGAGAUUAAUCAGAGUUGUGUCAUUGGGAUGAUCCUUUUCAUCCUUCAUUUGAAAUUGCCAUUCACUGGAAAGGAGUGAAAAAAGUAUCACGAAGGGAGCUUUCUAAAUUUCCAGUGAUAAGUUAAUUGAUAGUAAUUUAAAAAGACUUGCCAAGGGGACAGUUGAAGCAGCAAGCCCAUCAGUAGAGGAAGGUCUUAGCAUGCAUCAUCAUCUACCGUCAUCCUUCUACUUAUCAGUUUACCAGGGAGCCAGAGCAGCUGGACAAGAA